UCUCUGUUAGUAUAUCGGUUAGUACACGCGCCUGUCAGUACUUCUGGUCGCGCGAAAGCUGGGUUCGACUCCCAGACAGAGAG
rnacentral:tRNA from 2 species